rnacentral:rRNA from 1 species
CCUACGGGAGGCAGCAGUAGGGAAUCUUCCGCAAUGGCCGCAAGUCUGACGGAGCAACGCCGCGUGAACGUAGAAGGUCUUCGGAUCGUAAAGCUCUGUUGUCAGGGAAGAACAAGUACCGUUCGAUAAGGGCGGUACCUUGACGGUACCUGUCGAGAAAGCCACGGCUAACUACGUGCCAGCAGCCGCGGUAAU